rnacentral:rRNA from 1 species
UACGUAGGGUGCGAGCGUUAAUCGGAAUUACUGGGCGUAAAGCGUGCGAAGGUGGUCAUGCAAGACAGAUGUGAAAUCCCCGGGCUUAACCGGGGAACUGCGUCCGAUACUGGAUGACUUGAGUUCGGGAGAGGGAUGCGGAAUUCCAGGUGUAGCGGUGAAAUGCGUAGAUAUCUGGAGGAACACCGGUGGCGAAGGCGGCAUCCUGGACCGACACUGACGCUGAGGAGCGAAAGCCAGGGGAGCAAACGGG